UACGGAGGGUGCGAGCGUUGUCCGGAAUCACUGGGCGUAAAGGGUGCGUAGGCGGGUCUUAAGUCAGGGGUGAAAUCCUGGAGCUCAACUCCAGAACUGCCUUUGAUACUGAGGAUCUUGAGUUCGGGAGAGGUGAGUGGAACUGCGAGUGUAGAGGUGAAAUUCGUAGAUAUUCGCAAGAACACCAGUGGCGAAGGCGGCUCACUGGCCCGAUACUGACGCUGAGGCACGAAAGCGUGGGGAGCAAACAGGG
rnacentral:rRNA from 1 species